rnacentral:ncRNA from 1 species
GCGGGUUUUUUCGCCCGCGGUGAAACGGGAAGCCGGUGCGUAGCAAGUUUGCUGCAAUCCCGGCACUGCCCCCGCAACGGUAAGUGGAUUGGAUCGGCUUAUGCCACUGCGACAGCGCGUCGCGGGAAGGCGCAGAUCUUUCAGGCCAAACGGCAUCCACGAGUCCGGAGACCGGCCAGUCAG